CCUACGGGUGGCAGCAGUGGGGGAUAUUGCACAAUGGGGGAAACCCUGAUGCAGCGACGCCGCGUGAGUGAAGAAGUAUUUCGGUAUGUAAAGCUCUAUCAGCAGGGAAGAAAAAAGACGGUACCUGACUAAGAAGCCCCGUCUAACUACGUGCCAGCAGCCGCGGUAAUACGCCGGGGGCAGACGUUAUCCGGAUGUACUGGGUGUAAAGGGAGGGUAGAGGGCAAUACAAGUCGGAAGGGAAAUACUCGGGCUCAACCUGGGAACUGCUUUGGAAACUGGAUGGUUGGAGUGCUGGAGAGGUAGGCGGAAUGCGUAGUGUAGCGGUGAAAUGCGUAGAUAUUAGGAGGAACACCAGUGGCGAAGGCGGCUUACUGGACAGUAACUGACGUUGAGGCUCGAAAGCGUGGGGAGCAAACAGGAUUAGAUACCCUGGUAGUC
rnacentral:rRNA from 1 species